GUACUGAUGAGGAGUCCCAAACGUGGACGAAACAGCUGUCUAGUAC
rfam:Trichobilharzia regenti genome assembly, scaffold: TRE_scaffold0062688